UUAAGCGACUAAGCGUACACGGUGGAUGCCCUGGCAGUCAGAGGCGAUGAAGGACGUGCUAAUCUGCGAUAAGCGUCGGUAAGGUGAUAUGAACCGUUAUAACCGGCGAUUUCCGAAUGGGGAAACCCAGUGUGUUUCGACACACUAUCAUUAACUGAAUCCAUAGGUUAAUGAGGCGAACCGGGGGAACUGAAACAUCUAAGUACCCCGAGGAAAAGAAAUCAACCGAGAUUCCCCCAGUAGCGGCGAGCGAACGGGGAGCAGCCCAGAGCCUGAAUCAGUGUGUGUGUUAGUGGAAGCGUCUGGAAAGGCGCGCGAUACAGGGUGACAGCCCCGUACACAAAAAUGCACAUAUUGUGAGCUCGAUGAGUAGGGCGGGACACGUGGUAUCCUGUCUGAAUAUGGGGGGACCAUCCUCCAAGGCUAAAUACUCCUGACUGACCGAUAGUGAACCAGUACCGUGAGGGAAAGGCGAAAAGAACCCCGGCGAGGGGAGUGAAAAAGAACCUGAAACCGUGUACGUACAAGCAGUGGGAGCACGCUUAGGCGUGUGACUGCGUACCUUUUGUAUAAUGGGUCAGCGACUUAUAUUCUGUAGCAAGGUUAACCGAAUAGGGGAGCCGAAGGGAAACCGAGUCUUAACUGGGCGUUAAGUUGCAGGGUAUAGACCCGAAACCCGGUGAUCUAGCCAUGGGCAGGUUGAAGGUUGGGUAACACUAACUGGAGGACCGAACCGACUAAUGUUGAAAAAUUAGCGGAUGACUUGUGGCUGGGGGUGAAAGGCCAAUCAAACCGGGAGAUAGCUGGUUCUCCCCGAAAGCUAUUUAGGUAGCGCCUCGUGAAUUCAUCUCCGGGGGUAGAGCACUGUUUCGGCAAGGGGGUCAUCCCGACUUACCAACCCGAUGCAAACUGCGAAUACCGGAGAAUGUUAUCACGGGAGACACACGGCGGGUGCUAACGUCCGUCGUGAAGAGGGAAACAACCCAGACCGCCAGCUAAGGUCCCAAAGUCAUGGUUAAGUGGGAAACGAUGUGGGAAGGCCCAGACAGCCAGGAUGUUGGCUUAGAAGCAGCCAUCAUUUAAAGAAAGCGUAAUAGCUCACUGGUCGAGUCGGCCUGCGCGGAAGAUGUAACGGGGCUAAACCAUGCACCGAAGCUGCGGCAGCGACGCUGAUGCGUUGUUGGGUAGGGGAGCGUUCUGUAAGCCUGCGAAGGUGUGCUGUGAGGCAUGCUGGAGGUAUCAGAAGUGCGAAUGCUGACAUAAGUAACGAUAAAGCGGGUGAAAAGCCCGCUCGCCGGAAGACCAAGGGUUCCUGUCCAACGUUAAUCGGGGCAGGGUGAGUCGACCCCUAAGGCGAGGCCGAAAGGCGUAGUCGAUGGGAAACAGGUUAAUAUUCCUGUACUUGGUGUUACUGCGAAGGGGGGACGGAGAAGGCUAUGUUGGCCGGGCGACGGUUGUCCCGGUUUAAGCGUGUAGGCUGGUUUUCCAGGCAAAUCCGGAAAAUCAAGGCUGAGGCGUGAUGACGAGGCACUACGGUGCUGAAGCAACAAAUGCCCUGCUUCCAGGAAAAGCCUCUAAGCAUCAGGUAACAUCAAAUCGUACCCCAAACCGACACAGGUGGUCAGGUAGAGAAUACCAAGGCGCUUGAGAGAACUCGGGUGAAGGAACUAGGCAAAAUGGUGCCGUAACUUCGGGAGAAGGCACGCUGAUAUGUAGGUGAAGUCCCUUGCGGAUGGAGCUGAAAUCAGUCGAAGAUACCAGCUGGCUGCAACUGUUUAUUAAAAACACAGCACUGUGCAAACACGAAAGUGGACGUAUACGGUGUGACGCCUGCCCGGUGCCGGAAGGUUAAUUGAUGGGGUCAGCGCAAGCGAAGCUCUUGAUCGAAGCCCCGGUAAACGGCGGCCGUAACUAUAACGGUCCUAAGGUAGCGAAAUUCCUUGUCGGGUAAGUUCCGACCUGCACGAAUGGCGUAAUGAUGGCCAGGCUGUCUCCACCCGAGACUCAGUGAAAUUGAACUCGCUGUGAAGAUGCAGUGUACCCGCGGCAAGACGGAAAGACCCCGUGAACCUUUACUAUAGCUUGACACUGAACAUUGAGCCUUGAUGUGUAGGAUAGGUGGGAGGCUUUGAAGUGUGGACGCCAGUCUGCAUGGAGCCGACCUUGAAAUACCACCCUUUAAUGUUUGAUGUUCUAACGUUGACCCGUGAUCCGGGUUGCGGACAGUGUCUGGUGGGUAGUUUGACUGGGGCGGUCUCCUCCUAAAGAGUAACGGAGGAGCACGAAGGUUGGCUAAUCCUGGUCGGACAUCAGGAGGUUAGUGCAAUGGCAUAAGCCAGCUUGACUGCGAGCGUGACGGCGCGAGCAGGUGCGAAAGCAGGUCAUAGUGAUCCGGUGGUUCUGAAUGGAAGGGCCAUCGCUCAACGGAUAAAAGGUACUCCGGGGAUAACAGGCUGAUACCGCCCAAGAGUUCAUAUCGACGGCGGUGUUUGGCACCUCGAUGUCGGCUCAUCACAUCCUGGGGCUGAAGUAGGUCCCAAGGGUAUGGCUGUUCGCCAUUUAAAGUGGUACGCGAGCUGGGUUUAGAACGUCGUGAGACAGUUCGGUCCCUAUCUGCCGUGGGCGCUGGAGAACUGAGGGGGGCUGCUCCUAGUACGAGAGGACCGGAGUGGACGCAUCACUGGUGUUCGGGUUGUCAUGCCAAUGGCACUGCCCGGUAGCUAAAUGCGGAAGAGAUAAGUGCUGAAAGCAUCUAAGCACGAAACUUGCCCCGAGAUGAGUUCUCCCUGACUCCUUGAGAGUCCUGAAGGAACGUUGAAGACGACGACGUUGAUAGGCCGGGUGUGUAAGCGCAGCGAUGCGUUGAGCUAACCGGUACUAAUGAACCGUGAGGCUUAACCUU
rnacentral:rRNA from 1 species